UACUCUUGUCCGCGCGCUAACCGAAGCAGCGACGGGGUGGCGUGACCAACAAAGAAAGCAGGUCUUCUUUCUCUCUCCUUCCUCCAGCGGUCUAUGCGGGCGGGGCGAGGUUGGGAGAAGAGGAGGAGUGCAUGCUGUGGAGGAAAGAGGAGGGAGAGGGGAAGAGAGAGUCUGGGUGACCGCCGCCUCUGACCUCCGUCUUGUGACGUGCGCGGCCGGCCGCUCCUCCUCGACGCGACAGCGGCCGCGUGGUUGACGCAGAUGACGGAGCGGAGGGGCAACUGGAUGUUCUUCCAUAUAAGGGUGUAACUUGACUUAAUAACGAUAUAAGCCAACUAAGUCUGUAUAACAUAGAAGUUACCGAAAGUGACGACCCGUUUUAGUUCGCUACCUUCUAGGUACCAUGUAACACCACAAUAGACGAUGACUAAAUGUCCGGAACACCAACAGCAAGGGUACCGACAUGGCAAGUGCAAAUACGUCCCAAAUUUCAAACUACAUCCUACCCGUGUGUUCAAACUACAAACGUCAAUGUCUAAAAACAGUUUCGGGCGACUUUGCUUCAAAUCAAGUCGUCUGGUACAUACAACCUUCUUUCGUUUAAAGAACGGAAGACUUAGGAGGCAUCGGUAUUAUAAAAUAAAGUCUGGCUUAACAGGGUCGAGUCACAUAGAGUCGCUUCAUCGCCCAAGUACGUUCCGGACCGGCUGCCGUUGCUGAAAUCCCCGACAGCACGAAACGUAUGAAGUAGAUCCAUUUAACACGAUCGAAAGUCUAAUAAGUAAAAGCAAAAUGGGACAGUUUCUAGAAGAGUCUAAUCAAUUGGUUCGAUACAUUACUACCACAACACUAAGGCCCCCGAGACAACCUCCUAGUCGAAACCAAGUCUCCGUCCAAAACCCGUAUGGCGUCGUGUUCGUCUCCGUAUAGAGUCAGCUACGAUGACGUCAACUACUACGGGACUUCGAAAGAAGUCAUUGACUAAGUCGCACGGCGACAAGAGAUUCCAGCAACUCACGACUCUUGUCCGUUAUAUUAAUCCGAAAAUUGCUCUUCUACCUCCUCUAUUUUUGAAAGUCCUUCACAAAUCCGCUCAAGGUACGGGUUUUAUUACAAUACACUCGUCUCUCACGUCCGAACACGAGAAGACAACUUCUCGAACUCGUACUCUCUAACUUAGUUGUGUAUUCAGUACUCUCGUAUAUAAAUCUGCUCCUCUCCACUGACCAGUUUCUUUAAUUCUGGGAACUUUUUUGGUCUGGCUCCCAGUCAAGGUUACAACGAUUCGUUCGAUUUUACCUUCUAUAUCACCGACUCUCUCUACGGUAUGUACUAGUCCACUUUUAGUAGUAUGUACCUCAUUUCCUCCCUCUUCGUCGGUACAGAUUCUAAUUCCAGGACCUGCUACUCCGCUACCCGCACCUCUCGACGAUGUUCGAGCGCGUCCGCCGUAUGCAGUUGGAGCGCGACGUGUGUGAGUUCGUGGACCGCGGGCAGCAGUUACCCGAGGAGCAGGUACUAAUCGACCUGUUGUACUUGGAGCUCCUCCAACACUUCCCCUUGUAGACACUGCGGCAAGAAAUCUAUUAUUAUUACCACGUUAUGACGUAUCCUCCUUCAACAAACCCGGAAAAUGACUACCUAUAUAAAGAAUGAAAACUAGGAGUAGUUAUUAGAGGUCCAGAAACCCUCAAACGAUCGUCAGGACCAGUCUGAACCUGGUCCCUGAUCGCAGGACCUACGGAACCGUACGAGCCGAGGUGGCCACAACGUUCGGUCCACUUAUGAAGGGGCGAAUCCGGGAACGACAACAACAUAGCUUUCCAACUGAAUUGUUUUACUAGAUAUAUAUCAAGUAGCCUAUAACAACUUGUAGAAGUAUAACAGAUUCUUUUUAACAUUACAUCGCGUUGUUUGUUACGGGUCUAAUAUAAUCGGUAGUUUCUAUGAACGGAAGUUUCUGAUAAAAAUUUUUUAUGAAAGGGUCUAUUAAUAAGAAAACGUCUCUCUAACCCGUUCGCGAUGAACAAUGCACGGACGAUCUAUAAUGUGUUCUACAUAAAGUAAUUCCAGACGACUGGUUAAUUAAAAUAACAAGAAUAUACUCUACAACACCAACGGACUUAACAAAAAGUUAUAUGACUUCGAAUUAAUGUAAGGGAUCUAGCCAACACUUUCACCGUAGGGCCUUAAAUAAACUAUGAAGCCUAAUGUAACCUAUACCAACACGAUUGAACUGUUUUGUCGCACCGAAGUAAACAGCGCCAAGAGUCAGAGAGUGCCAGAAUCAACGGACUUAGCGACCCAAAUGUACCAUGAUGUUUAAUCACAUCGUCUAUCACCAUCUAGUCUACUCCACGGAAAUGAGCAGACGAGGGAACCUUUACGUACGUAUAGGUACAACUGCAGACGAUAGAAACUAGAAAUAAGACUUAGUCUCUAUCACGGGUAUACAUAUGUAUACCGUAGAAGUAUAAUAAAAAAUACUGUUUGAGUAGAAAGGUGCCGACCGAGUUCAAGUAAAGUCCUAGUAGUUCGAAGGGCACAUGUAGAUGGUGGGUUCAGUACACUUGCUCGGCUACUUCUAUGAGUUGUAAUAAACGAAGUCGAUGAAGGAAGCAUUGAUGUUCUAUGAAUUCUACCUCCGGACGAGCACCUACGAGGUGACCAAAUGACGUCAAAGUUCCCGAAUCCCUCGCGGAGGAACAACUGUUGGAGAAGGAACGGUUCGAACAGUACCUCACGCAGCAGCUCGGUAGUCGUUACAGACAAAAUAAAACUCUUCGGCAGUAAGUGGCCUAAAUCUAUCUAGUAGGCGCUGACGGUGACGGCGGACAGCCUCGACAAUUGAGUCGAAAUGGGAUAAAACUUGACGCCGAGGUGAAAACCUGUCUUACAUGCUAAUACAUACGGUCAUAGUUUUUGACACAGGGGAAGUAAAACUUCGUCGAUUGUAUGUAGAUUUACGUAUCAAAUUGGUCGAUAUGUUGACUAACGGUGGAGUUU
rnacentral:rRNA from 1 species